rnacentral:rRNA from 1 species
GAUGAACGCUGGCGGCGUGCCUAAUACAUGCAAGUCGAGCGAACGGACGAGAAGCUUGCUUCUCUGAUGUUAGCGGCGGACGGGUGAGUAACACGUGGAUAACCUACCUAUAAGACUGGGAUAACUUCGGGAAACCGGAGCUAAUACCGGAUAAUAUUUUGAACCGCAUGGUUCAAAAGUGAAAGACGGUCUUGCUGUCACUUAUAGAUGGAUCCGCGCUGCAUUAGCUAGUUGGUAAGGUAACGGCUUACCAAGGCAACGAUGCAUAGCCGACCUGAGAGGGUGAUCGGCCACACUGGAACGGAGACACGGUCCAGACUCCUACGGGAGGCAGAAGUAGGGAAUCUUCCGCAAUGGGCGAAAGCCUGACGGAGCAACGCCGCGUGAGUGAUGAAGGUCUUCGGAUCGUAAAACUCUGUUAUUAGGGAAGAACAUAUGUGUAAGUAACUGUGCACAUCUUGACGGUACCUAAUCAGAAAGCCACGGCUAACUACGUG